rnacentral:rRNA from 1 species
AAUUUGGCCUGCCCCCUGAUCGUAAGGUAUUAAAGGGCCGCAGUAUUAUAACUGUGCAAAGGUAGCAUAGUCAUUAGGUUUUUAAUUAGAAUCUUGUAUGAAUGGUUGGACAAAAGAAAGACUCUCUUUAUAUUAAUGUUGAAUUUAACUUUUAAGUGAGAAGGCUUAAAUAAACUAAGGGGACGAUAAGACCCUAUAAAACUUUAUAUUAUAAUUAUAUUUUGACGAAUUUGUAUUAGAUAAAGAUUUAAUUUAAUUAUUUAUUAUGUUGGGGAGACAUAAGUAAAAUAUUAUUUUAACUGCUUGAAAUUCAUACAAUUAUUUGUGAGUAGUAAAAGAUCCUUUUUAAAGAUUAAUAGGUUAAGUUACUUUAGGGAUAACAGCGUAAUUUCUUUUGAGAGUUCUUAUCGAUAAAGAAGGUUGCGACCUCGAUGUUGAAUUAAAAAAUCUAUAUAGUGAAGAAGUUAUAUAAGAAGGUCUGUUCGACCUUUAAAAUUUU